rnacentral:rRNA from 1 species
GACGAACGCUGGCGGCGUGCUUAAUACAUGCAAGUCGAACGGAAAGACCCUGCUUUUGUGGCUUGCUCGAGUGGCGCAGGGGUGAGUGACACGUGAGUAUACUGCCCUUAACAUUGGGAUAACUUCACGAGACUCGGGCGCAUACCGCAUAGGAUAUACUGCUCCAUAGUGUGCGAUAGAAAGAGUCGGCGGUUGUGGCUGGACUCGCGGCUUAUCAGCUUGUUGGUGGGGUAGUGGCUUACCAAGGCUUUGACGGGUAGCCGGCCUGAGCGGGUGACAGGCCACAUUGGGACUGAGAGACGGCACAGACUCCGACGGGAGGGAGAAGUGGGGAAUAUUGCACGAUGGGCGGAAGCCUGAUGCAGCAACGCCGCGUGCGGGAUGACGGCCUUCGGGGUGUAAACCGCUUUCGCCUGUGACGAAGCGUGAGUGACGGUAAUGGGUAAAGAAGCACCGGCUAACUACGUU